rnacentral:lncRNA from 1 species
AUGGUGCUGCCUGCGCCGCCAGGCGGGGUGUUAGCGAGGAGGCUGCUAGCCGGGCCUGGCCGGGAGGUGCGCGGACUUCGGCGGGGUGAAGGUGGGCGGCUCCGAGGGCGCCGGGUCCUGGUGCACGUUCGGUGGGCGGCAGCCGGGAGGCUCCGCGGAGCAAAAGUGCGCAGCCUGAGCACCCCGGACUGCGACUCCCCAGGCGCCGGGUCAUUUGUUGGCGUGCAGUUGGAGAAGUGUGGCUUUAAACAGGACUCUCCCCGACGUGCUUCUCCCCUCCCCACCCCCGGCGGCGUCUGGAAACCUCUCGGGUCGUCCCCGUCGCCGAACGGGGGAGGGGAGCGCGACACUGACUUAAUCAGAUCAAAGGAGCCGCACUCGAGCUGGUGUGUGGCGGUGACCGGUCCGCAAGGGCGAGGUGAGGAUCCCUUUUUUUACUCACCUUGUGACAUGUGAAAGAGGUGGCCUGCCAUGAACAGUGGAAGAGAGAAGCCCACACAAACCUGAAUUUGUCAAAGGAAGGGGAGUGAUUCCCUUCUGAACUGGAGCACAUUUGGAGUUGGCUGAGGCAGGUAUUGACCCUAAACCAACCCAGACUGGCUCCUGUCUUAAGCUCCAAGUCCUAAGACAUGUGGGGUGAAUCUCUGGCUUUGGUUUUCCCUGCCUACCCUUCUCUCCAGCCCUCCCCUCCCCCAACAACACUCGCAGCCCUGGUCCGAAAUACUGUAGAUAGGACAGGUGUGCACAAAGACUUUCUCGAGAAACUUAGUAAGGCUAAUAAGAGAAGUUACAGUAUCUGACAGCAAAUUCCCUAGGGGCUCUAGGACAUUUUUCUCCAACCUAGUUACAGAUUAAGAUCUGGAGUACCAUAGUGGUACUGUUUAAGGUCAAAGUGUAGAAAAACCAAGUUUUGUGCGAGCUACUCAUAUAGCUAGCAACCAGCCAAAGAAUACAAAUAAACUUCCCUUUUUGUGGGGAGUGGGUUGAUGUAACAGGAAAUACUAACAGAUCGAAAGGUAGGACACUGAAAGGCUAAAAGAAAAGACACCUGGUUUAUCCAGGUAAAGCCAAGGGAAUAUGAUGAUAGCAGUAAUCCUUAAAUCUGUAAGCCCAAGAAUGAGCAUAAGGCGAGCCUUCUAAGCUCCUUUAAAAAGGGUCAGCAGCCAAACUGCCAUGUGUAGCAACAUUUUCUCAGCAGCUAUACUCCCAGAAUCUCCUUCUUGCCCACUUCUUGUAGCGCUUACCCCUGGUGCUUGUCCUGUGUCAUUUGAUUCUUUGCUUUCAUUCCUCAAGCCUACCUAAAGCAGGUAUAGAGGCCAACUUCAGUAGAGCUAUCAAAUAUUGAGAAUCUAGUAUAAAAAACUGCAUAGUUUAACAUUAAGCACCGCUAACAGAAGUGGCAGCCUCCAAAUGCAGAAAAAAACAAAUGCAGAACUGAUCAAUAAGUGUUUCUGCUUCUUAUAAAAUUGAAUAACAAUGUACUUGACUUCACUUAAGUAGUUUUCUAACAGUUCUGGAAGAGGUGAAAUGUAGUUACAAGCUCCUUCUGUUCUAGGAGGGGUACAAACUAAGACAAAACUGAGGCCAUGCUAUAUAUACUAUUCUCCCAGCACCUAGCAUGUAUUCUUUUGCUUAAUUGUUAAUUGAAAGCCUUAAAAUAACUAGCAGCCCCAAGUAUAGCAUGCAAUAUAUAGCGUGGCCAUAAAAGCAAGGGAACAGAUAGUAUGUGGCUAUAUGGUUUCAAGUUUUGAUCCCAAAACAGUAAGGCUUGACACAUAGCACAGAAAUAUCAAUAAUUUUAUAGUAAAUAUCUAGACUAUUUUCUGUUUCUCAUGGAUUGCAAAUAACAUCAUUCCCUGUAUAGGGAAUAGUGAUCAAGAUAAGGCUGUUACCUACCUACUUCACAUUAUCACUGAUUUCACUUUGUAGACUGACUUUCCACUGGAAAGCCAUCUCCACCUGCUAGCCCAUAAGAAAUUACAUGACUUUCAGGAUUAUGAUAAAGUCUAUAAUGAUGUUUAUCAGAUAUACCUGCCUCAUGAGAGCAUCUCAUGGUGGGGUAAGUCAGUGGGUUAGUUCAGAGACUCAAAACUGCUUGGUUUACUUCCUUCUAGUUUGAAUUAAUCUCAAAAGUGCAUAGGUACAGUGUGUCAGACUACUUUCAGGACAAACAGUCCAAAAAUCCUUUUGAGGUUAUGGGUGAGAUGUACUUGUUGAAUAGAAAAGUAAGUGGCUCAGGGAUGAAAUUUCUCCCAACCAUAAAGGGGGAGAAUCUAAAGAAUGAUAACUUAUCUGAGGACUUAGGAGAAGAGUAUUUCUAGGAAAAUCUGAUUUUGUAGCAGAAAACUAUCUCAAUUGUAGUCUCCAUGUUUGUUAAUGUGUAUCAGCCUCUCUUUCUUAAACUGUGCUGUUGGCUUACAGUAAAAAUUCUAGCCAGGAGUAUCAGCACACUCCUAUAAUCCCAGUUGCUCAGGAGGUGAAGCAGGAAGAUCCCAAGAGUUCAAGGCCAGUCUGGGCAACGUAGUGAGACCUUGUCUCAAAAUAAAAAAGGCUAGGGAUAUAGCUCAGUGGUAGAUCACUUACCUAGCAUUUGUGAGGCCCUGGGUUCAGUCCCCAGUACCACAAACAAAACAAGACCCAAAUCUCUAAACACUGUUAAUACAAAUGAGUUAGACACAUUUAACUGCUCUAUAGGAGCUAAAUACAAUGAUGGCAAAUGAUACCUUAAACUUAGCCCAUGAAGUCCCCUAGGAGAACUUGGGCCUGCUGGUUAUUUUAAGACUUUCAGUUAACAGUUAACCAAGAGAGUACCUGCUGGGUGUUCUGAGGAUAGGCAUGGAGAUCUGCUAGAAAUGUCUUAGAUCCUUUGCCUGCUUUGGGUCUUAGAGAUGCUAUAUGAGGGGUCUGGCCCUGUAAUUAGGAGAUAACUUUAGGGGAAGAAGCCUUAAACUGGCCAGAGUGGCUGGUCUUGGCGACCAGUGUGGCACAUCUGGGUUGGCCCUGGUGGCUAGUAGUCUUUAUAUGAAUAGACACAGUGUUGGUGAUGGGGUAGAGGGUGGAGGGAUAUGCAAUUUGCCAAACAAGGAAGAUGAUAAAGUCUGGUGACAGACAACAUUUGCAAAUGACUUUGUGUUGUAAUGUAAUAUUUCUUCCAAAUAUUAUGAGUAAAUAUGGUUCCUAUUUUAUAGACUGCCUGCACUAGUACUAACUACGUCCUAGGUUCUAAGUUAUUAACUGCUCUGUAGGUUUACUAAGUCCAUUAUAAAUUGAAGCCAGUUUCCUUCAUACAUCUCCUUAAAACAACUUGAUGUCCAUCUACUGAGCACCUAUCACACACCAUAUGGCACCAGGCAGAAGCAUAUGGCACUAACUAUGUGACCACACAGUCGCUUUGUGGCG